AGUGAACGCUGGCGGUAGGCCUAACACAUGCAGGUCGAACGGCAGCACAGUAAGAGCUUGCUCUUACGGGUGGCGAGUGGCGGACGGGUGAGGAAUACAUCGGAAUCUACUUUUUCGUGGGGGAUAACGUAGGGAAACUUACGCUAAUACCGCAUACGACCUACGGGUGAAAGCAGGGGAUCUUCGGACCUUGCGCGAUUGAAUGAGCCGAUGUCGGAUUAGCUAGUUGGCGGGGUAAAGGCCCACCAAGGCGACGAUCCGUAGCUGGUCUGAGAGGAGGGUCGGCGAAACGGGAAAUGAGACACGGUCGGGACUACCACGGGAGGCAGAAGGAGGGAAGCUUGCGCAAUGGGCGAAAGCCUGACGGAGCAACGCCGCGUGAGUGAGGAAGGGCUUCGGAGCGGAAAACUCUGGUAGUAGGGAAGAAAAAAUGUGUAAGUAACUAUGGACGUCCUGACGGUACCGAAGCAGAAAGCCACGGCUAACUACGUG
rnacentral:rRNA from 1 species